GUACAAUAAGCAAAAUAAGGGCGUAUGGGGGAUGCCUAGGCUCUCAGAGGCGAAGAAGGACGCGAUAAGCUGCGAAAAUCUGCGGGGAUUGGCACAUACAAAUUGAUCCGCAGGUAUCCGAAUGGGGCAACCCACUAUGUUGAAGACAUAGUAUCCCGACGUAAGUCGGGAGGCAAACCCGGGGAACUGAAACAUCUAAGUACCCGGAGGAGAAGAAAACAAAAGUGAUUCCGUAAGUAGCGGCGAGCGAACGCGGAUUAGCCCAAACCAGGGUUGUUACGGCAAUUCUGGGGUUGUAGGACCGCGACAUUGGUUGUGCGAUGAAUUAGAACACUUUGGAAAGAGUGGCCAUAGAAGGUGAUAGCCCUGUACAAGUAAAGACCAUAAACCAUAGCGGUAUCCUGAGUAGUGCGGGACACGAGAAAUCCUGUAUGAAUUUGGCGGGACCAUCCGCUAAGGCUAAAUACUCCUGAGAGACCGAUAGUGAACCAGUACCGUGAGGGAAAGGUGAAAAGAACCUUGAAUAAAGGAGUGAAAUAGAUCCUGAAACCAUACGCUUACAAGCGGUCGGAGUCCGCCUUCGGGUGGAUGACGGCGUGCCUUUUGCAUAAUGAGCCUACGAGUUAACGUUGCUGGCAAGGUUAAGUGAUUAAGUCACGGAUCCGUAGCGAAAGCGAGUCUGAAUAGGGCGAGAUUCAUUCCUUGGGAAUGAAAGCGCACUUGUGCGCUUAGUCAGUAGUGUUAGACGCGAAACCGUGUGAUCUACCCAUGGGCAGGGUGAAGCUUUGUUAACCCAAAGUGGAGGCCCGAACCCGUUGACGUUGAAAAGUCUUGGGAUGACCUGUGGGUAGGGGUGAAAGGCCAAUCAAACUCGGAAAUAGCUCGUACUCCCCGAAAUGCAUUUAGGUGCAGCGUUGAAAACUAGUUUUAUAGAGGUAGAGCUACUGAUUGGAUGCGGGGGCUUCACCGCCUACCAAUUCCUGACAAACUCCGAAUGCUAUAAAAUGAUAAUCAGCAGUGAGGGCAUGGGUGCUAAGGUCCAUGUCCGAGAGGGAAAGAACCCAGACCAUCAGCUAAGGUCCCAAAAUGUAUAUUAAGUUGAACAAACGCGGUUGGAUUGCACAGACAGCUAGGAUGUUGGCUUGGAAGCAGCCAUUCAUUUAAAGAGUGCGUAACAGCUCACUAGUCGAGCGAUCCGGCAUGGAUAAUAAUCGGGCAUAAAUAUACUACCGAAGCUAUGGAUUUCCGCCUUUGGCGGAUCUGGUAGGGGAGCAUUCUAAUGGGGUUGAAGGUGAGCUGUAAGGCUUGCUGGACUAAUUAGAAAAGAAAAUGUAGGCAUAAGUAACGAUAAUGCGGGCGAGAAACCCGCACACCGAAAGACUAAGGUUUCCGCAGCUAUGCUAAUCAGCUGCGGGUUAGUCGGGGCCUAACGCGAACCCGAAAGGGGUAGUGGAUGGACAACAGAUUAAUAUUUCUGUACCUGCUCACGCUAAAAGUGACGGAGGCGUAAAUUUGGUGCGUGCUGACGGAAUAGCACGUUGAAUCCGCCGGAAGGCGGAGAUAGUACACUAAGGCUACGGCUGCGGUGAUAAUCCAGAAAAACGACUUCCAAGAAAAGCGAGUGAAGCAGCCCGUACCGUAAACCGACACAGGUAGUUGGGAUGAGAAUUCUAAGGUGCUCGAGAGAUUCAUGGUUAAGGAACUAGGCAAAAUCGACCCGUAACUUCGGGAGAAGGGUCGCCCCGACGUCAAGUCGGGGCCGCAGUGAAGAGGUCCAGGCGACUGUUUAUCAAAAACACAGGGCUCUGCUAAAUCGAAAGAUGAUGUAUAGGGCCUGACACCUGCCCGGUGCUGGAAGGUUAAGAGGAGAUGUUAUCUUCGGAGAAGCAUUGAAUUGAAGCCCCAGUAAACGGCGGCCGUAACUAUAACGGUCCUAAGGUAGCGAAAUUCCUUGUCGGGUAAGUUCCGACCUG
rnacentral:rRNA from 1 species